rnacentral:rRNA from 1 species
CCUACGGGUGGCUGCAGUGGGGAAUAUUGCACAAUGGGCGAAAGCCUGAUGCAGCGACGCCGCGUGAGGGAUGACGGCCUUCGGGUUGUAAACCUCUUUCAGCAGGGAAGAAGCGAAAGUGACGGUACCUGCAGAAGAAGCACCGGCUAACUACGUGCCAGCAGCCGCGGUAAUACGUAGGGUGCGAGCGUUGUCCGGAAUUAUUGGGCGUAAAGAGCUUGUAGGCGGUUUGUCGCGUCUGCAGUGAAAAUCCGAGGCUCAACCUCGGACUUGCUGUGGGUACGGGCAGACUAGAGUAUGGUAGGGGAGACCGGAAUUCCUGGUGUAGCGGUGGAAUGCGCAGAUAUCAGGAGGAACACCGAUGGCGAAGGCAGGUCUCUGGGCCAUAACUGACGCUGAGAAGCGAAAGCAUGGGGAGCGAACAGGAUUAGAUACCCCGGUAGUC